AUUGAACGCUGGCGGCAGGCCUAACACAUGCAAGUCGAACGGUAACAGGAAGCAGCUUGCUGCUUCGCUGACGAGUGGCGGACGGGUGAGUAAUGUCUGGGAAGCUGCCUGAUGGAGUGGGAUAACUACUGGAAACGGUAGCUAAUACCGCAUAAUGUCGCAAGACCAAAGAGGGGGACCUCCGGGCCUCUUGCCAUCGGAUGUGCCCAGAUGGGAUUAGCUUGUUGGUGGGGUAACGGCUCACCAAGGCGACGAUCCCUAGCUGGUCUGAGAGGAUGACCAGCCACACUGGAACUGAGACACGGUCCAGACUCCUACGGGAGGCAGCAGUGGGGAAUAUUGCACAAUGGGCGCAAGCCUGAUGCAGCCAUGCCGCGUGUAUGAAGAAGGCCUUCGGGUUGUAAAGUACUUUCAGCGGGGAGGAAGGGAGUAAAGUUAAUACCUUUGCUCAUUGACGUUACCCGCAGAAGAAGCACCGGCUAACUCCGUG
rnacentral:rRNA from 1 species